UGGAAUGCAUUUUCAUCUUUGUUAGACCUCUUUUAAACAUAUUUGAUUUCACACACACACACACACAAACAUACGUGUGUAUGUAUAUGGUUAAUUUGUUUAUUUCUAAAUUUGAAUGGGAGGAGGCGAAGAGUAAAACAGGAAUUUAACGUGAGAAGAUUUUGAUUGGCUGGCACGCUGCCAUAACAUUGUCAAUCUCGCAGUGUAAACAAGGCUCUGAUUGGCUGCUGGCCAGUCCGCACUGGGCUGUCUGAAAAACGCAAUUACUGGGCCCUGUGGUUUCAAGGCAGCCCGGGGUUGAAUGAUGAAAAGAGAUAGAUGGACUGUUUCAAGGUUUCCCCUUCGCGGACCUCGUUGGCCUAAGAACCACAGGGAUAGUCAGGAGUGAAUCGAGGGGAAUUCGGAGGGGGUGGGGGUGCACGUUGUCUCAUCAUAUCGAGGCCAGUUUUUGGGGAUUAAUGCGAUGCAAUAACAAUGUAGCAGUUAGCAUUACUGAAGGGGCAUGGCAUAAACGGCAUUAACCAGAUGGAAGUGCAACUACGAACCGCUGAAGUUAGCGUUGGUGGAAAAAUAACAGGAAACGUCCGUGUGCCAGCGCGAGCUUCCCAAUGGCGGAACAGAGGGAUAAUUAAUGCGGAGUGACUGAUUGCUCUUGAAGGAGACCAGUCCUACGAGAGGGAUUGUCCCUGACCAACGAAGCGUUUCUGAUUGACACUUUCCUACCAUAUUCCACCCACAUGCAGCAACCGGAAGAGGGCAUUUGUCACCGGCGUCGUAUGGGGGGCUACAACACCCAGUUAUUACCGUGGCUUUGCUUCAUGCUUUUGUAUGUCAUGCGUACCUUCAAAACCUUAACCUGAAGGCCCAGACUCCUUGCUCUAGAAUACUGCAAGUAAAAACGUUUACUCGAAAACCUCCCCAAUAUAAUGUGUGGAAAAUUCGCAUGAUAAUUAAAGCACAUAAUUAUGCAUUCAACGGCAGUCGUGAACCAUUGUUACUCAACAAUGAAUCCAGAACACCAACCAAAUGCAAGACAUAGGUCACGUCAAAUGCCCAGAUAUUUCAAUUAUUUGUGGGUCCGACUGUACAUUAGAAACAUUCAUUAAAUCCAUCAAAUGCAUCCUCUUAUAUAAUGUUAGUUUUGGAGAAAAAAUAUCUUAUGGGUUUCCACUCAUAAUCAAUACCUAAUCAAUGAUAGAUUUCGAUGGCAAUAUAAAAAACUAGAGGAAUACGCAAAAUAGGUGUAAUGUUCGGCUUAUGAUACAACAUCGAUAAAGCAAUUAAUUCAUAUCUUUCUGGGUAUUUUUGAUUACAUGAAUGGCGUUUUAAAUGGUCUUCAGUUGAACUAAGAAGAAUAUUCGUUCUUGUUGUAAAUCCACUGAGCCAAAGAGGUUGAGAAACGUUUCCUAUUUGUAUCUGAAAAUAGGCCACUUGAAGUGUUGUUCAAUCCAAAUUUUCUAAGCUGUUUAAUGCCAAGCUUUUUAAAAGAAAUGUUUGUUUUCAUUACGUUAAAUAAUUCCAUCUUUUCAUGACUUUAAUUACCAAAAUGUCAAAACUGGAAUAAAAAGAAAAACCAAUAAGGGCCUCCCUGUUGAAGAAGUGA